ensembl:lncRNA
CAGACUGAUUGACAUGUGACAAGCUAGCGUCAUCUUUUGUUGAGAGGUCAAAAUGUCCUUGUCGAAAGCCAAAAGAAAGGUAGAUGAUCAGCACAGACAAUUCCAGGAGAAGUGGGAGAUGGAUUAUUGUUUUGUUGAGUUCAGGCGCAAUGGCUUCAUCUGCAAAGAGAAGUUUGCCGUGUUGAAGGAAUAUAACUUGAAGUGGCAUUAUUGUAUGCAGAGGAGUACGGUAAAUACCAGAGAGAGGAGGGGAGCAAACCCAGCUUAACGAGCCCCCACUGACCGUACAUUGUGGUUUUUACCAUUUGUAUCCAUCACUUUUAGACACAGCCAUUAGCCGUAUGGAUCUUUUGCAGGAGCAAGUCGUGUCUUUUUAGGAUACCCCUUCUCUGCAUCCACAAAACGGGUUUCCUGCGACUUCACAGACUGUCCUUGUUUCUUAAACAUAAUUUAGGCAGUGGAAUCGUUCCGGCGUGCUCAGGAGACCACUCGAGUUCACGAAUCAAAGGUUAAAAGGUGACCCCCCCCAAAAUGACAAGUGAAGAAGAGCCGACCUUGGACAAUUGUGCGACUGGCUAGUUUUCGAUGAGGAGAGGCUUAUCAGCUAGUGUUUUGGGCCCACUGAUGGAGACUAUCAAGGACCAUGAACCCUCCAGAUGCCAUGAGGUGAUCUGCAGCAUACAAGCGCAAGAAAGUCCGUCUAGAGCCAGUGCCAGAGGUGGCGAUUCCCAGACCUCAGAGGGUCCGCCCGAUCCUCAGGAGGCUGAGGAAGUUCCUGAAAAAGGAACAAGCCCUUGUGGCAGAGGGCUCUGUACGGGAGCCCCAGACAACAGGGUCAGAGGUCACCCCUCACAUCCCCUCAGAGGUCUCGGCCAUUCCGAUCACACCUAGUCCAAAUGCCCUUCAAGAGACCGAGAAGGAGGAGACUAAGGUGAUCAAGGCCAUCCUUCAUGAGGACCCUGUUAAAAUGGAGGACCUCGAGGGAGAGGAGGAGACCAACUCGUCCCUUGUGCCUGCAGUGCUUGGGCCCUCCUCCAGCUCCUUGGAACGCUGUGUGACCCAGCUGAUGGGGCAAGACGUUGCCAAGAGGGAAAGAUCAUCAAGGGGCAGAAGCCCCUCUGCUGCAUUAACUGCCCCAGACAAUAGUGUUGCCCUCCUCCAACCUCAGCAGCUGAAGUGCAGAGGGCUGCCCAACCUGGGGCAUACCUGCUACCUGAACGCCACACUGCAGUGUCUGCUCCACCUGCAGCCUCUCUGCACUCAGCUGCUGGUGCAGGAGGAGGUGUGGAGGAUGGAGCCAAAGGCACUGCUGCUCGGUUCGUUUGUAGGACUGGUACUCCUCAGAGGGUCCUUUGAAAUGGACAUGAAGGCAGCUGUACUACUGGAGCUCAAGGACCAAAUCUCCCUGCACAACCAGGAGUUUGAGGGGAACUCGCAGAACGGGAGAACCUAGCGAUGACUUAGCAAUGACGCCCAUGAGUUCCUCUCAGAGUGUCUACUGCGGCUGAGGGUCAUCGGCCAGGCACUGGCCAUGGGCGACAUGGCCUACCAGUGCCCAGUGGACACUCUGCUCUCCUUCCAGCUCCGGUAUAUAAGAACUUGCCAGAGCUGUGGAGUUGAGAGCAUGAGGGAUGAGGUUAACACCAUGCUCUCCCUCGACCUGGUUGUACAGGGAUCGAUAAGAGACAGCCUCCAGCUCUUUUUCACUGAAUCAAAUGUGGAGUUCCGGUGUGAGUGCUGUGAGGGUCGGGUGUCAACCUUGAGGUGUCAUUUCCACACUCUGCCUCAGGUGUUGAUCCUCCACCUCAAGAGGUUCUGUCCCCUGACCCUCACCAAACAACACCAGGCGGUCACACUGGACCCCAUUCUGGACCUGAGGACACUAGGGGAAAGGAUUGAAGAUGUCCUUAGGACGCCUCCUCCAACCAGAGGAAGGAGAGGGACAUUAUACCUUAAUAAAUGUCCUUAGCCACAUUGGCUCAGAUACCACCAGCGGCCACUACAUGGCCGACUGUGAGGAACAGCCAGGCCAGUGGGUCACAUACAGUGACCACUGUGUCUCAGUGAAAGCUGAGGAGGCCGUCCUCAAAGACAGGGAGAGGAUGGCCUACAUACUUUUUUACAUCAAAAAGGUGACACAUGCUGGAGUACAGUGUCACACUGAGUAGUUUGAGCGCUGGCUGCUGUGUAGAUGAAGCUCAUCCUUCGACUCUUUGCUCAGUAGUGUCCAGCAUAGGUGGAGAGACCGGGACAGAGACCCUGGUGAGAGACCGGGACAGAGACCCUGGUGAGAGAUGGGGAGGGAGACUCAGGCACUCAGUGGACAGUUUGUUUAAUGUGGAAAAUGAUUGACAUGCAUAAGAACAUAAAAGCUGUUUGAUCUUGUGGGAAUGAAUGCUAUGUGAAUGUGUGCCUUUUCUAAAUGUACAAGUAACUUAUGUAGGAGUUGGUGUAAUAGUGGGGCGUGUUUGCAUCGUGUAUUAAUAAGAAACUGCAAAUUGUCCUUUCAGGAAGGAAAGGGACAUUAAUUAAGGAAUAAUGUUCUCAGCCACAUUGGCUCAGAUACCACCAGCGGCCACUACAUGGCCGACUUUGAGGAACAGCCAGGCCAGUGGGUCACAUACAGUGACCACUGUGUCUCAGUGAGAGCUGAGGAGGCCAUCCUCAAAGACAGGGAGAGGAUGGCCUACAUUCUUUUUUUACAUCAAAAAGGUAAUUUACACCAGCCACAGCUUAACACUUACAUCUGUA